AGAGUUUGAUUAUGGCUCAGGACGAACGCUGGCGGCGUGCUUAACACAUGCAAGUUGAACGGUAUGACAUGGAAGCUUGCUGAAGUGUCAUAUAGUAGCGGACGGGUGAGUAAUGCAUGAGAAGCUGCCAUUGGGAGGGGGACAACAGUUGGAAACGGCUGCUAAUACCCCGUAUGCCGGAGGGUGAAAGGGAGUAAUCCGCCCGAUGAGGUGCUCAUGUCCUAUCAGCUGGUUGGUGGGGUAACGGCCUACCAAGGCGACGACGGGUAGCCGGCCUGAGAGGGUGAACGGCCACACUGGAACUGAGAUACGGUCCAGACUCCUACGGGAGGCAGCAGUGGGGAAUAUUGGGCAAAUGGGGGCAACCCUGACCCAGCGACGCCGCGUGGGGGAAGACGGCCUUCGGGUUGUAAACCUCUUUUGUACGGGAAGAAGGAAGUGACGGUACUGUACGAAUAAGUCCCGGCUAACUACGUGCCAGCAGCGGC
rnacentral:rRNA from 1 species